rnacentral:sRNA from 1 species
ACACUAAACAAGCUUCAUCUUGCUUCUCAAAGCUUUGAUGGUUUAGCCAAAGUCUGUAUGAGUCUUUGGUUGUGUAUCUUCUAACAAGGAAACACUACUUAGGCUUUAAAGAUCUGAAUGUUGUUCUUGUUUUUAUACUCAAUCAUACACAUGACAUAUAUAUUUGACUCCCUAACAUUAAACAAGAUUCAUCUUGCUUCUCAAAGCUUUGAUGGUGUAGCCGAAUUCCAUAUGAGUAUUUGGUUUGU